UACGGAGGGGGCUAGCGUUGUUCGGAAUUACUGGGCGUAAAGGGCGCGCAGGCGGCUGCUCAAGUCAGGCGUGAAAGGCCUGGGCUCAACCCGGGAAUUGCGCUUGAGACUGGGCUGGCUUGAGUGCGGGAGAGGAUGGUGGAAUUCCCAGUGUAGAGGUGAAAUUCGUAGAUAUUGGGAAGAACACCAGUGGCGAAGGCGGCUCACUGGCCCGGUACUGACGCUGAGGCGCGAAAGCGUGGGGAGCAAACAGG
rnacentral:rRNA from 1 species